rnacentral:rRNA from 1 species
ACGGAAGGCAGCAGUGGGGAAUAUUGCACAAUGGGGGAAACCCUGAUGCAGCGACGCCGCGUGAGUGAAGAAGUAUUUCGGUAUGUAAAGCUCUAUCAGCAGGAAAGGAAAUGACGGUACCUGACUAAGAAGCCCCGGCUAACUACGUGCCAGCAGCCGCGGUAAUACGUAGGGGGCAAGCGUUAUCCGGAUUUACUGGGUGUAAAGGGAGCGUAGACGGCUUUGCAAGUCUGAAGUGAAAGCCCGGGGCUCAACCCCGGAACUGCUUUGGAAACUGUAGAGCUAGAGUGCAGGAGAGGUAAGUGGAAUUCCUAGUGUAGCGGUGAAAUGCGUAGAUAUUAGGAGGAACACCAGUGGCGAAGGCGGCUUACUGGACUGUAACUGACGUUGAGGCUCGAAGGCGUGGGGAGCAAACAGGAUUAGAUACCCUGGUA